UAAAGUGGCGCACGGGUGAGUAACGCGUGGGUAAUCUACCUCUGAAUUGGGGAUAACAUUGCGAAAGCGAUGCCAAUACCGGAUAAUAUCCUUCAAACUUCGGUUGUAAGGAUCAAAGGUGGCCUCUACAUGUAAGCUAUUGUUUAGAGAUGAGCCCGCGUACCAUUAGCUUGUUGGUAGGGUAAAGGCCUACCAAGGCGACGAUGGUUAGCUGGUCUGAGAGGAUGAUCAGCCACACUGGAACUGACACACGGUCCAGACUCCUACGGGAGGCAGCAGUGAGGAAUUUUGCGCAAUGGGGGAAACCCUGACGCAGCAACGCCGCGUGAGUGAUGAAGGCUUUCGGGUCGUAAAGCUCUGUCAAGUGGGAAGAACCCGCGCCGAACCAAUAAUUCGGUGCGCUGACGGUACCACUGAAGGAAGCACCGGCUAACUCCGUGCCAGCAGCCGCGGUAAUACGGGGGGUGCAAGCGUUAUUCGGAAUCAUUGGGCGUAAAGAGCGCGUAGGCGGUCUUUUAUGUCAGGUGUGAAAGCCCGGGGCUUAACCCCGGAAGUGCACUUGAACUGAAAGACUUGAGUAUGG
rnacentral:rRNA from 1 species